CUGAACAACAACACCCAACGGCCCACCACUACUGAAGAUCAAUGACUGAACUGCGAUCCACGCUGGACCCAUGGUGGCUGCAGGACAGCAAAUGUGCUCUUGAGUAGUAGAAGUGUCUGACUUUCAUGUGCUACAGACCACAGCAACUUUUCCUUAUGUAGUGACCAGUGGUGUGCUGAAGAAGGCAUGGAGGACUUUGAAUUGGGUUUUGAAUUGGAUGCCACCCUGCUGUAUGCUGAAGGAAGUGUCAAAACAAGGAACAAGUGAAAAUGUAGACCUAAGAAGUGUGCAGAUUUUGCUCACCCACAGAAUGCCAUAUUGUUGCCAGACAAA